CUUCGGGGCGAGGUGCGAUCCCUCACCGGCGGUGACAGUCCGCGAACUUGCAAGGCAAGCCGAACGGGUGAAAUUCCCGUACCGACGGUAUAGUCCGGAUGGAAGAAGC
rnacentral:ncRNA from 1 species